GACGAACGCUGGCGGCGUGCUUAACACAUGCAAGUCGAACGGAAAGGCCCUGCUUUUGUGGGGUGCUCGAGUGGCGAAAGGGUGAGUAACACGUGAGUAACCUGCCCUUGACUUUGGGAUAACUUCAGGAAACUGGGGCUCAUACCGGAUAUGAGCUCCUGCUGCAUGGUGGGGGUUGGAAAGUUUCGGCGGUUGGGGAUGGACUCGCGGCUUAUCAGCUUGUUGGUGGGGUAGUGGCUUACCAAGGCUUUGACGGGUAGCCGGCCUGAGAGGGUGACCGGCCACAUUGGGACUGAGGUACGGACCAGAAUCCUACGGGAGGCAGCGGUGGGGAAUAUUGCACAAUGGGCGGAAGCCUGAUGCAGCAACGCCGCGUGCGGGAUGACGGCCUUCGGGUUGUAAACCGCUUUCGCCUGUGACGAAGCGUGAGUGACGGUAAUGGGUAAAGAAGCACCGGCUAACUACGUG
rnacentral:rRNA from 1 species